rnacentral:pre_miRNA from 1 species
UUAAUACUCCCUCCAUUCCAUAAUUCUUGUCUCAAAUUUGCCCAAAAAUGGAUGCAUCUAUUCCUAAAAAGCGUCUAGAUACAUGCAAUAUUUCGACAAGAAUUAUGGAACGAAGGGAGUACUAG